UACGGGAGGCAGCAGUGGGGAAUAUUGCACAAUGGGCGAAAGCCUGAUGCAGCUAUGCCGCGUGUAUGAAGAAGGCCUUAGGGUUGUAAAGUACUUUCAUCGGGGAGGAAAAAACAAAACUAAAUAAUUUUUAUUUUCUUGACGUUACCCGAAAAAGAAGCACCGGCUAACUCCGUGCCAGCAGCCGCGGUAAUACGGAGGGUGCUAGCGUUAAUCAGAAUUACUGGGCGUAAAGAGCACGUAGGUGGUUUUUUUAAGUUCAGAUGUGAAAUCCCUGGGCUUAACCUAGGAACUGCAUUUUGAAACUGAAAUAACUAGAGUAUCGUAGAGGGAGGUAGAAUUCGUAGGUGUAGCGGUGAAAUGCGUAGAUAUCCGGAGGAAUACCUGUGGCGAAAGCGGCCUCCUAAACGAAUACUGACACUGAGGUGCGAAAGCGUGGGGAGACAAACGAGGGAUUAGACUACC
rnacentral:rRNA from 1 species